CCUACGGGAGGCUGCAGUGGGGAAUAUUGGACAAUGGGGGGAACCCUGAUCCAGCCAUGCCGCGUGUGUGAAGAAGGCCCUCGGGUUGUAAAGCACUUUCAGUGAGGAAGAACGCCUGGUGGUUAAUACCCAUCAGGAAAGACAUCACUCACAGAAGAAGCACCGGCUAACUCCGUGCCAGCAGCCGCGGUAAUACGGAGGGUGCGAGCGUUAAUCGGAAUUACUGGGCGUAAAGCGCGCGUAGGUGGCUUGAUAAGCCGGUUGUGAAAGCCCCGGGCUCAACCUGGGAACGGCAUCCGGAACUGUCAAGCUAGAGUGCAGGAGAGGAAGGUAGAAUUCCCGGUGUAGCGGUGAAAUGCGUAGAGAUCGGGAGGAAUACCAGUGGCGAAGGCGGCCUUCUGGACUGACUCUGACACUGAGGUGCGAAAGCGUGGGUAGCAAACAGGAUUAGAUACCCUGGUAGUC
rnacentral:rRNA from 1 species